rnacentral:tRNA from 1 species
GCCCAGCUAGCACAGUUGGUAGAGCAUGAGACUCUUAAUCUCAGGGUUGUGAGUUUAAGCCCCACGUUGGGUG